GCAGUCGCCGCGGUAAAACGGAGGGCGCGAGCGUUACCCGGAUUUACUGGGCGUAAAGGGCGUGUAGGCGGCCUGGGGCGUCCCAUGUGAAAGGCCACGGCUCAACCGUGGAGGAGCGUGGGAUACGCUCAGGCUAGAGGGUGGGAGAGGGUGGUGGAAUUCCCGGAGUAGCGGUGAAAUGCGCAGAUACCGGGAGGAACGCCGAUGGCGAAGGCAGCCACCUGGUCCACUUCUGACGCUGAGGCGCGAAAGCGUGGGGAGCAAACCGGAUUAGAUACCCGUGUAGUCCCUGUCUCUUAUAU
rnacentral:rRNA from 1 species